AGCAUGAAAAAGUAUUAUGAAGUAAAGAGUGCAGACAUUAUUUCUUUGCUCAUGGUAUUUAGUUCAAAAUCACAAAAUCACAAAGAGUUCUUCAUGUUGGCACUACGCUAAUUAAAAAAAAUACCAUAAACACCAGAAAAGUGUGAGUUCCGUUAUGUAUUUUUCCUGUUUUGAGGUUUUUUUCUUUUAUCAAUAUUACACAUCCUCUUCCAAAAGAGAAAACUGUGAUUACAAUCGGAAGCUGUACGCACAAGGAUUUUAUAGAAUUACAGUUUUUAGUUUCACAGGAUUUAAUAUGAAGGUUACAAAUGUUCGAAGACCUAGAAAUUUAAAUCUGCUGGUUUUCACCCCUUCUCAGCUCAACUCUAAAACUCCCUGGGGAGGGGGUGGGGAGGAGGGGGAUUCUUAGUCCUCUUUUCUUUCAGCUACAUUUUUAUAUACUUUAGUCACAGGGUUUCACGUUGUAACAUCAUGUUUAUUCAUGGAAUAGCUUGGUAUCAUUGAUGUUCAGAUGGAAUCUAGUUAAAAUGAGAUUAGUUAUUUUGGAUAGGUGGAGAAAAAGAAAAAAUGCUUUGUGGUAACUUGGAGGUUUCUCCCCCCUAGAAAUUUAGAAAGAAAAA